UUUUCAUGCCUAGAAGAAUCUUCUCAUACGAUUUCGGACACCCCCGACCUGGACCGUACCAUUCCCUUGCCUGGACGUUAGCUGAACGUUAGCCGUCGCCGUCAUCACGUCCUUGUGUGUCCGCUCCUGUCUAAUGGCUAGCUGUCUAGGAUCGCGCAGCAGAGCUCAUCAUCGCUGAGCUUCUUGCCACAGUGAGGAAGGGACUUCUUGAGCCUGUUCACCGCCAGCAUCAGUGUAGUCGCAGCGUGGCCCGUGUGGACCGGAGGAAUGACUGCAGAACUUCCUCACAGCACAACUGGGCCGAUGGCAGCGUUAGAGCCGACACGCCGUAGUACGUGAACGCCCCGUUCUCAAACUUCAGCCCCUCUUUACCGAUCUCCACCUCCACACGACCCUGAGAGAGAAACAGCCGGAGAGUAUCAACCAAAAACCAUCUGGACUCCUUCAUGAUGUUGUUUACUCAAUGUUUCUCUCCAGGGCGGCACUUGUGUGUGACAACAAUCAUGAAAAUAUAUCAUUUCUAGAGACGUCCUGGAGGAUUUUAUUCUGCAACAGAAUGUUUUUAGUGAAAAUUACAAUGAAAAAAUACAAAAUGAAAUCAUAAAAGUUGCAUGAAAUUAUAAAGAUAUCUGAGAUCUACUGAUUAUUGUCACUUUAAGUUUUUCUAUUCUUCAGUUUGAGUUUCAUUUAUUUUUUUCCCUCGUCUUUAUUGCAAAUUUUACAUUUCUGCUUUCAGUUUGAACAUUUUCAUUAAUCUUUUAAUUUUAAAUUUCACUUAUUUAAUUUACUAACUUCAGAUCAUCAUUUUUACAUUUAAAAUUUGCUUUAUUUUAAUGUAAUAUUUCUUUCUAAGUUGAAUGACGGCCUGAUUAUUUCUCUCUGCCUCAAAAAAUAAUAAUCUUUUCAGUUUUUGCUCUUAAGACUUUUAUUUUUAAUUAUGUCUGUAAACAUCCUCCGGGCGCUCUGAAACUGAACUGUGA